rnacentral:pre_miRNA from 1 species
UUGUAAUUUCAGAUUCCUACCACUUUUGGUCCCUCAUUUUACGUACCAUGUAUGCAGUCAGAUUUUGCUUCCGUGGUGGAAUGAGGGACCGAAAGUGGAAGAAUAUGAAAUUACAG